rnacentral:piRNA from 1 species
UCAUUUUUUAAAGUGUUGCUGGAGGUGCG